UACGUAGGGUGCGAGCGUUAAUCGGAAUUACUGGGCGUAAAGCGUGCGCAGGCGGCUUUGCAAGACAGAUGUGAAAUCCCCGGGCUCAACCUGGGAACUGCAUUUGUGACUGCAAGGCUAGAGUACGGCAGAGGGGGAUGGAAUUCCGCGUGUAGCAGUGAAAUGCGUAGAUAUGAGGAGGAACACCAAUGGCGAAGGCAACCCCCUGGGC
rnacentral:rRNA from 1 species